UUAAUACUGACAUUGCUCUCUCAGCCCAGUCAGGUGUUCCAUAUUUGUGACAUCAGACAAUGCCCCUAGAAUGGCUACUACAGUGGUGCAUUCACUAUGUAGCUGAGAACACCCUCUCAAACUCAGUAGGUAAAAUUUUCUUGUCAAAAGUAUUAGAAACAGUUCUCAAGACUACCAUGUGCAAGGUGGAGAUCAGCACUGGGAGAAGAAAACACUUUUAGCAAGACAAGGUUUUCCUAUCGAGAGCUCUCUUGUCCAACAGAGAACAGCAUUUCCUAAGCUGUCCGGAUUACUCUGUAUGGAGGCAGCUUCUCCUAAUUUUGGAGCUACCACAUCGCUAGCUGUUGGAUGACAGCUCACAGCCCCAGAGGUCAUCAACCCACCAAGAAAGAAGGUUCCUGAAACAGUGAUGAUACUGUGAAUUCUGAUCCAUUGGAGGACAAUCUCUUGAGAAAACAGGCUGCACUAAAACAUAAACACACCAUUGAAGAAAUCAGACUACGAAUGUCAGCGUUCAUUUGAUGUUUCUGGAAGUCAAG